CAGGGGGUGCUUGCACCCCGCUGACGAGCGGCGGACGGGUGAGUAAUGCAUAGGAAAUUGCCCAGUAGUGGGGGAUAGCCCGGGGAAACCCGGAUUAAUACCGCAUACGUCCUUCGGGAGAAAGCAGGGGAUCUUCGGACCUUGCGCUAUUGGAUGUGCCUAUGUCGGAUUAGCUAGUUGGUGGGGUAAAGGCCUACCAAGGCGACGAUCCGUAGCUGGUCUGAGAGGAUGAUCAGCCACAUCGGGACUGAGACACGGCCCGAACUCCUACGGGAGGCAGCAGUGGGGAAUAUUGGACAAUGGGGGCAACCCUGAUCCAGCCAUGCCGCGUGUGUGAAGAAGGCUUUCGGGUUGUAAAGCACUUUCAGUGAGGAGGAAAACCUUAUGGUUAAUACCCAUGAGGCUUGACGUUACUCACAGAAGAAGCACCGGCUAACUCCGUGCCAGCAGCCGCGGUAAUACGGAGGGUGCAAGCGUUAAUCGGAAUUACUGGGCGUAAAGCGCGCGUAGGUGGUUUGAUAAGCGAGAUGUGAAAGCCCCGGGCUUAACUUGGGAACGGCAUUUCGAACUGUCAGGCUAGAGUAUGGUAGAGGGUAGUGGAAUUUCCUGUGUAGCGGUGAAAUGCGUAGAUAUAGGAAGGA
rnacentral:rRNA from 1 species